UGGGGAAUAUUGGACAAUGGGGGCAACCCUGAUCCAGCAAUGCCGCGUGUGUGAAGAAGGCCUGCGGGUUGUAAAGCACUUUCGGUGGGGAGAAGAGGCCUUUGGUUAAUACCCAAAGGAAGAGAUGUUACCCACAGAAGAAGCACCGGCUAACUCUGUGCCAGCAGCCGCGGUAAUACAGAGGGUGCAAGCGUUAAUCGGAAUUACUGGGCGUAAAGGGUGCGUAGGUGGUUUUAUAAGUUAGGUGUGAAAGCCCCGGGCUUAACCUGGGAAUGGCGCCUAAUACUGUUGAACUAGAGUACUGUAGAGGAAAGUGGAAUUUCCGGUGUAGCGGUGAAAUGCGUAGAUAUCGGAAGGAACACCAGUGGCGAAGGCGACUUUCUGGACAGAUACUGACACUGAGGCACGAAAGCGUGGGGAGCAAACAGG
rnacentral:rRNA from 1 species